rnacentral:rRNA from 1 species
GACGGAGGAUGCAAGCGUUAUCCGGAAUGAUUGGGCGUAAAGCGUCCGCAGGUGGCAGUUCAAGUCUGCUGUCAAAGACCGGGGCUUAACUUCGGAAAGGCAGUGGAAACUGAACAGCUAGAGUAUGGUAGGGGCAGAGGGAAUUCCUGGUGUAGCGGUGAAAUGCGUAGAGAUCAGGAAGAACAUCGGUGGCGAAGGCGCUCUGCUGGACCAUAACUGACACUCGGGGACGAAAGCUAGGGGAGCGAAUGGG